rnacentral:rRNA from 1 species
UACGUAGGGGGGCAAGCGUUGUCCGGAAUCAUUGGGCGUAAAGAGCGUGUAGGCGGCCAGAAAAGUCCGCUGUGAAAACUCGAGGCUCAACUUCGAGCUGUCGGUGGAAACUUUCUGGCUAGAGUCCGGAAGAGGAGAAUGGAAUUCCUGGUGUAGCGGUGAAAUGCGCAGAUAUCAGGAAGAACACCCGUGGCGAAGGCGGUUCUCUGGGACGGUACUGACGCUGAGACGCGAAAGCGUGGGGGAGCGAACAGG